rnacentral:snoRNA from 1 species
UGCUGUGAUGAGUAAGCAAUAUUUCUGACACCUCUUGUACGAGAGCAAUGUUUUGCACUGCUCGUUGAACGGAGACGCUUCGCUCUGAGCA